GCCAAUGAUUUCCCAUUCGUUUUGGCAAAAGGCCCUUCUUGUGGGCGUCCGGACAAGCACGAUGUCCUUCUUGACAAUGAAAUUUUGCUGCGGGGAGUAUUGACUCGCAAACACUUGGAAUUUCAUCUUUAGGAGAUGGGAAAGCUGCGCUUUGCCUCUCAGCCGCAUUUGGCCCGUUGGGACAACACUCUGGGUUGACACAUCUUCCUGCCUCAGCUUCCGUGGAUGUGCGGGAUCCAGGAGGCCGAGACCCCCUCCUGCCUCUCCAGAGACUGCGUCAUGAGGAUGAGAGGCGGGAUUUCUCUCAGUGAGAAAUGCUUGAGAGAAGCCAGUGGUGGUCUUUAACCGUUAUACAUUGUAAGUGUCAUGGCCAAGUUCGCAGGACCAGUCUGGAGCUCCAGUGACAAAAUGUCUGAGGGUUUCCCGUUCCUCCUUCUUGCUUGGAAGUGGCAUCCAGGGUCUCUGGUAAGGGGUGUUUUGGGUGAGGAUGGUGGUUUUGUUCCCCAUCGAGACAGUUUUAAGGGAUGGGAUUUCCACUCCUUUGUUCCUUCCGUCCCCUACCCUUGAGCCAAGGAGCCUUCCUCUGCACACUUGUCCUCAUCUCUUGUUCUGUGUCUUUGGAACGCUAAUGAGAAAUAGA